rnacentral:rRNA from 1 species
AGCGAACGCUGGCGGCAGGCCUAACACAUGCAAGUCGAACGAACUCUUCGGAGUUAGUGGCGGACGGGUGAGUAACACGUGGGAACGUGCCUUUUUGUUCGGAAUAACUCAGGGAAACGUGUGCUAAUACCGAAUGUGCCCUUCGGGGGAAAGAUUUAUCGCCAUGAGAGCGGCCCGCGUCUUAUUAGCUAGUUGGUGAGGUAACGGCUCACCAAGGCGACGAUCAGUAGCUGGUCUGAGAGGAUGACCAGCCACACUGGGACUGAGACACGGUCCAGACUCCUACGGGAGGCAGCAGUGGGGAAUCUUGCGCAAUGGGCGAAAGCAUGACGCAGCCAUGCCGCGUGAAUGAUGAAGGUCUUAGGAUUGUAAAAUUCUUUCACCGGCGACGAUAAUGACGGUACCCGGAGAAGAAGCCCCGGCUAACUUCGUG